rnacentral:lncRNA from 1 species
GUGAGAUGUAUUUAUCACACUUCUCUUUGUAGUCAUCCAAGCAUCUCCAAUCACCAUCUUGGUUUCUGCUCCUAUAUCAGUAUCUAUUAUUAUAGUAGUUUCAACCUUGAUUCCAUUGCUCUUGGGCUUGGAAAUCUGCCAACUGACGAUCAAAAUACUUUGCUUUCUCUUUAGACUCAAUCUUAUAAGUUCUAGAAGUGGAACUCUAUACCCCUACUGCAUUCACUUUCU